CCCACUUCCAGCCCCACUCACGCCUACCUUCUGCUCCCAUUUCCCUCCUCCCCUUCCUCUCCCCUGCCCUAAACCCUGCUAGAAUGAUCCCGUCCCCAAUGGAGCUCCUCCGCUCGCACCUCUCGAAGGUUCGAAUCCCCGAACCCACCAACCGCAUCUACAAGCAGGAGUGCUGCAUCUCCUUCGAUACCCCGAGGUCGGAAGGGGGCCUGUACGUGGAUUUGUUCUCGUUUCUUGCUUUCGGAAAGGAUUACGUCGGCUGGAAUUACGUGAAGACGGGGAAUCCGGUCUACCUCCACAUCCAGCAGAGGAGAAAGCCCGUCCCUGAGGAUCGCCCCCUCAAGAAACCCACCCUUCUCGCCAUCGGUAUGGAGGGAGGAUUUGAUAAUCAAGAACUGGAGUAUGAAGAAACUCAUGAUAUUGUCAUAUUACCUGACUAUGUUACUCUCCCAUUUCCAUCUGUUGAGCUGCCAGAAAAGGUUAGGUUGGCUGUUGAUUCCAUUUUAAUUGCUGAAGGUGCUGAGCGCAAAGGGCAAUUAGCAUCUUGGACUUCUGAGAAAAAGAAAGUCAGUGCCUAUGCCAUGGACCUGCAACAGAUUAACAAUGGCGUUGUUAUUCCUCCAUCUGGGUGGAAAUGUAGCAAAUGUGACAAGACUGAUAACCUUUGGCUGAACUUAACUGAUGGAAUGAUCCUCUGUGGAAGGAGAAACUGGGAUGGAAGUGGUGGCAAUAAUCAUGCUAUUGAGCACUACAAAGAGACAAACUAUCCUCUUGCUGUGAAACUUGGAACUAUAACUGCUGAUUUGGAAGGAGCAGAUGUUUUCUCUUACCCGGAGGAUGAUGGUGUUGAGGAUCCUUUAUUGGCUCAACACUUGGCAUUUUUUGGCAUCGACUUUUCAUCACUGCAAAAGACUGAAAUGACAACUGCUGAAAGAGAAUUGGACCAGAACAUAAAUUUUGACUGGAAUCGGAUACAAGAAAGUGGGCAGGAAGUGGAACCCUUGUUUGGACCAGGCUAUACCGGGCUUGUCAAUCUUGGGAAUAGCUGCUAUAUGGCAUCAACCAUGCAAGUAGUUUUCUCAACACGUUCCUUCAUUUCACGAUAUUAUGAGAAACAGAGUUUGCAAAUGGCAUUUGAGAUGGCUCCUGCUGAUCCAACACUAGACUUGAAUAUGCAGUUGACUAAACUGGCAUAUGGUUUGCUGUCUGGAAAAUACUCUUUUCUGGCUCAAGAGAUGGAUGAAGUGGGAAAUUGUAAAACUACAACCUCAAGUGCUAAGCAAGAAGGGAUUCCUCCUCGUAUGUUUAAAACAGUUAUUGCUGCUAAUCAUCCCGAGUUUUCAAGUAUGAGGCAACAGGAUGCUUUGGAGUUUUUUCAACAUUUGCUUGACCAAGUUGAACGGGCCAAUGCUGAAAAACCUGAAUUUGAACCCUCGAGGAGUUUUAAGUUUAUUGUUGAGGAGCGGCUACAGUGUCCAUCUGGAAAAGUUGCUUAUAAUAAAAGAACUGACAACAUUCUAUCUCUGAAUAUACCAUUACAUGAAGCUAUGAAUAAAGAUCAGCUCGAAGUAUUUCACAAAAUGAAACAUGAAAGGAAGUUGGAAGGGAAGGAAAUAGCUAAUGAUGAAAUUGUGCGACCAAGAGUGCCCUUGGAGGCAUGCUUAGCAAGUUUUUCAGCUCCUGAGGAGGUGCAUGGUUUUUAUAGCACUGCAUUAAAUGCUAAGACAACGGCGAUCAAGACUGCUGGUUUGGCUACAUUCCCUGAUUACCUGGUACUGCAUAUGCGUAAAUUUGUGAUGGAGGAAGGCUGGGUACCAAAGAAACUUGAUGUAUACAUAGAUGUGCCUGAUAUAAUUGAUAUCACACACAUGCGCAGCAGGGGUCUGCAACCAGGAGAAGAAUUACUACCAGAAACAGUAUCCAGCAGUGAGAAGAUGGAACCUACCCAUGUUGCUGCAAGUGAAGAUAUUGUUACGAAACUUUCAGGCAUGGGCUUCAAUUAUCUCCAUUGUCAGAAAGCUGCCAUUAACACCUCAAAUGCUGGAAUUGAAGAAGCAAUGAAUUGGUUGCUAUCUCACAUGAAUGAUCCAGAUAUAGAUGAUCCAAUUUCCGAUGAUUCAAAAACUGUGGAGCUUAUGUCUAUUGAUGAAACAAGUGUUGAAACUUUGAUAUCAUUUGGAUUUCAAGAAGAGGUUGCCCGAAAAGCAUUGAAGGCCUCUGGUGGGAGCAUUGAGAAAGCCACGGAUUGGAUAUUUAGCCACCCAGAAGUUUCCAGCUCAGUUGAUACAGAUGCUACAUCAAGUGGCACACAGGCUGGUGAUCCAGGAGUACCAGAUGGAAGUGGCACAUACAAGCUCAUGGCACUAAUUAGCCACAUAGGCACCUCCACUCAAUGUGGGCACUAUGUAGCUCAUGUGUAUAAGGAUGGAAGAUGGGUGAUCUUCAAUGACAGCAAGGUUGGUGCAUCAGUCAACCCACCAAAGGACAUGGGGUACCUCUAUUUCUUUGAGAGGAUAGACAACUAAACUGAACAAAGUUGACUGCUGGAAAUCUUUAUGCAGCUAAACUCUUAGCAACAGUGGAGGAGCUAAAAUUCACUUAAAACUGACAGGUGAUGUUAGUUGGUGAUUGAUAGUUAAACAGAAUUUGGAGUUCGUAAAGGUUGGUAGGACUUUGCAAUUAUAGUCAUGGUUCCAUUUGCAAUUAUACUCUGAACAGAUGCUACCCGCCUCUGUAGAUCCUGCCCUAUGCUAACCCGGCUGAGGAAAAAGAAUCAUUGCAUUGGUUGAAUGAAAAGGAAGACAACUAACACUGAUUACUGACUUCAUUUUCUUGAAGGAUUUAUUGGAUCACUAUGUGUGUGCAUUUUGUAUUUGUGCAUUUCUAGCAAUGUGGUUUAGGCUUUGUGAAAAGACAAGCUUAUAUUAAGUUGUAGAAUGACUGAUCACAAUGUUAUCAUGAGUUUCUCACUCUGAUAUUUGGAUGUUCCACGACAACAUUCAUGGAUACCAAGCUAGAGAUCUUUUCAGGCAUCCAGAAUCUAGUCAUCUGGAAUGCUGUUCCUUUUGAAUUAGGAGUCCAUAGCAUGAUUCUCCGGAUCUACCAUUUCUUGAGUUCCUCACUUCAGAAAUUGUGUUUAUUUCUGGUUUUCCUACUGCACCGUCCUACAUGAUUAUGUGGUAUGCUGAUGUACUUCAUUAGAGUAUUCAAAAGAAAGCUUUCAAGGGUGAAUCAUAAUGGCCUGUAUGGGAUUGCUUAUGCUUUCUCAAAACAACUUGCCAUAUAAGUGCUCUGAAGGAACACUUAUUUACUUUGAAUAUGCCAAAGCAAUUUUAAUGUCCAUUUGAUUUUAAUAAAGUUGGAUGGCUUUACGUUGAAUCCAGCUUUCCUGGAAUUUGGAUCUGAAUAGAAUGGCAUGACCCAGAAGAU